UCCCUGGUGGUCCAGCGGUUCAGACUCUGCAUUUCUAAUGCAGGGGGCAUGAGUUCGAUCCCUACUCAGGGAA
rnacentral:tRNA from 1 species